CCUACGGGAGGCAGCAGUAAGGAAUAUUGGUCAAUGGACGCAAGUCUGAACCAGCCAUGCCGCGUGAAGGAUUAAGGUCCUCUGGAUUGUAAACUUCUUUUAUCUGGGACGAAAAAAGGCGAUUCUUCGUCACUUGACGGUACCAGAUGAAUAAGCACCGGCUAACUCCGUGCCAGCAGCCGCGGUAAUACGGAGGGUGCAAGCGUUAUCCGGAUUCACUGGGUUUAAAGGGUGCGUAGGCGGGCAGGUAAGUCAGUGGUGAAAUCCUAGAGCUUAACUCUAGAACUGCCAUUGAUACUAUCUGUCUUGAAUAUUGUGGAGGUAAGCGGAAUAUGUCAUGUAGCGGUGAAAUGCUUAGAUAUGACAUAGAACACCUAUUGCGAAGGCAGCUUACUACGCAUAUAUUGACGCUGAGGCACAAAAGCGUGGGGAUCAAACAGGAUUAGAUACCCUGGUAGUCCACGCCCUAAACGAUGAUUACUCGACAUUUGUGAUACACUAUAAGUGUNUGAGAGAAGACAUAAGUAAUACCACCGUACGGAGUACGACCGACGAGUUAGUAACGUACGAAUAGAAGUUAGUACGGACGUUGAGACGUUCGACCGACGGACGACGACGAGGGAGGUAGG
rnacentral:rRNA from 1 species